GGGGGGACGGGUGGCGGCGGCGGGCGCCAUCACCCCGCCGGGGCCCAUCAUCACCCCGCCGGCCGGGGCCAGCCCCCCCCUCCUCCCCGCCGCUCCCCUCACCUCAGGGGAGCGAGGGGCUGGAGGGGCCGCCUGCCUCAGCCCGGGUUGGGGGUGUCAUCCCGGGUCUUCCCCCCGCCACCGACCCCAACAUCACCCGUCCCCGGGCGCGGGGGGCCGGGCUCUGGCAGAGCCCCCGUACUACGGGGCGGCGGCCGGCAGGAGCACGGUGAAGUCGGCCUACAAAGAGCUGAGAGGGAGCUGUGCCCCGGCCGGGAAAGCUGAGGGUGCUGGCAGCCUUGCCCGCCCUCCCUCCCCUCCUCGGCUUCCCCGGGGAAGCGCCGGCAGCCGGUGUUGCAUCCUCUGGGCCAGCGCAGGGUUUGAAGCUGACAGCUGCUUUAACGUCUCACUAACGUUUUUGCUCUGCGCUGUAGUUAUCCUCUGUACUUAUCUCUGCUGCCAGUCGUACUAGUUCAUGGGGCUUUCUUCGCAAUCUUAAAAGCAGGUUGGAGCUUGUAACUUUUGAGCACGAGGGCUCAGCGACAAGGGUGCCUUGCUCUUGCAAACUGGGUUAAGUCAGCACAGAAAGGUUUUUUUCAGCUUGUGCAGUUCCUUUCUAGGAUCCAGGUGUCAAAACCGUGGGGUGGUCUUAUUUCUGUCAGAAUCGGUCCUCACUUCCAUCUUGCGGGAAGGUACGUUGUAGUAAUAUGUGCGUGCCAGAGCCCGCCACAGACUACAUCAGCUGCUUUUCCACACCGUCUUCUAAUUUUUUCCCAGUUGGCUGAUCUCUUUAACCAUAUUCCUUUUGCUGCCAAGGAUUUGAUGUGUCGUGAUGCCAUCUCCCACUCUAAAGUCUCCUGAAAACUUGGUUCGGUCUGCUUGUAAUUAUGUGAUUCAGAAGUCAGCGUAGCUGGUGUUUCCUCCUGUUUUUCUGCCAUCUCUCCUCUUCGUGCUUCCAGCUGGAAUUGUUCCAAAAUCCUGGAUUUCCUUGCCCUUUGUGGAGAAAUGGGGAGAGAGGAAUUGUGGUGUGUGGAUGUGGAAACGUUUGUUUUUGAGGGGAUGACUGGAUAUUUUACAAUGUGGUACUGUAUUAAAGUGGAUGUUAUGAAGAUGUCUUGUAAGAUAGUAAAGAACAGAAAUCAAACCCGCAGUAUCUGUUGAGCCACCUGUUCGUGCCGUAAUGAGCUGGACAAGAUUUUGAUACAGGAUGCCAAUAUUGAUCUGUGCUAUGUCUUGGACGUGGCUGAUGUGGAAGAGGGCCCAGGAGGACGCCAAGGGCUGCGUCACUGAUUCUUGACAGCCAGGAACCUGACCAAAACUCUGAUGAAGAGAAAGGAAUGUUUUUCUUCCACAACCUCCAUUUGUGUUGAUAGCCUGUCUUCCAUUCCUAGAAAUCUGCAGGCACUAUGGAAGCGAUAGGAAAUCUGAGGUUGCUAGACCCAUGCGGCUCCUACUGUUAACUGCUCAAUGCCUGGCAAAGUGGAAGGAACACAAGUGAAAAUUUUAGCUUUGUGAAAACCUCUGAAAAACAUGAAUAUGUAGUGCAAGCGUGGAGGGGAUUGUUCAAAGGUGAAAAGCAAAAAAAGCAGAGAGGCCAAGAUGGAGUGCCUCUUUCCGACCAAGGAGAUGGCAAAGAACAGGCUCCCUCUGUCCAGGAAGCUAGCUAAAGAGAUCUUCAAAACAGCAAGUAAAGUCUUACAGUGACCUAGUAAACUGCAGAACUGGCCGCGGGCUGCGGGCUGUAGAAGCAGCCAUUAGAAAUACUGAACGCCAUUGGAAGGUGUGAUCCAUGACAGCUGCCAUUUGUUCUACACAUCCUUCUCUUGAUGUCCUGCUAUAUCAUAUCAGCUGUAAGCUUCAUUGGCCCCAGGGUAGGCUUUGGAGGCAAUCUACCACUGGAAGACCCUUCAGCAGCACCUUUGCAUGGUAGUGAAAGCAGCAGGGUGGGGGAAGAGUGUUUUAAGCUGAUGUGUGCAGGUACCAUGCUGUUUGAGCCCCCAGCCCUCCUGCCUGGCACCAUGAAGAAAGGCUGCAGUGAGCUGCUCAGCUGACAUGUCCCCUGGUACUUUAGACGACACCCUGCCCACUCACACUGCUGAAGGAUUUGAACUCACAGAAGAAUUAAGCUGAUGAUGAGGCCUGAAGAAACUGAAGUUCGUGUGCCUCUGCGCUGGUGGCCUGUUAUUUUAUUGAUCUUUAUAUGUGUAACAGUGUGUUUGAGAGAUCUUCCUGAGUCCCUGACCUCUACUGGUGCACUAGCCUAAACAGUGAGCCUGUCUGCUGUGCUUCCAGGAAUUCCUGAAAGUGCGCAAUGGGCAAAACAAGCCCUACACAUCAACACACAGCCUUCCAUUCAUGUCCCAAUCGAGCCUCUGAACAGUUGCUGAUUUCCCUCUCAAUACAUUUACACCCAGUGGUCUCCUUUAAGAAGAAAACCAAAAGAACAACUGAUAAAGGCAAAACUCAGUCCUUUGUAGCAUGAAAUAGAAAGACUAUGUGGCCUUCCAGAGCAGAGUGCUUUGCUACCCUUUGCAGACUAUGCCAAGUAGUUCAAAGCCUUAGGUAGGGCAUGCAUCUAAAGUAGGCACGUGAAGGCGAUUGUCUCUCUCGUAGCUGUCUGGCUUUUGCAGGCACAUACAUAUGCUCUGUGUGACCCUUAACAUUUGAGGAAAGCAUUGCUUAGGCUGCCUUAAACCUUCUAACCAGCACUUGCUGUCUGUGCUUCAGCUUUUCCAGAUGCAUGUAUCACUAUAGUUUUGAAAGCUGCUUAAGUGUUAUUUGUGGGGUUUUGGGUUCCCUAACACUUUAGAUUUCUAAUAAAGGUCUUCUACUACUACACAGCUGAUGUAAGUGGUAAAGGUAGUCCCUCCUUGAAUGCACAUUGUGUUAGCUGUGGUAGCAAUUCAGGCUGUGGUAGCAAAGAAUGUUGGGCAGGCUUGAAGACUGUAAUCAUUGUGAACUGCUUUAAACCAUACGUUUUAGGCAAAUCUAGUACAGAUUUCAGACUGGUCUUAGUGCAUAGUGAAGGGAAGUACAUCUUUCUGGGCAUGAUUUUGGAACGUGUAUGUAAGGAUGGCUAGUGGAAAUAUGGAUUUCAUUGAGUUGUAGCAUGGCACAGGCGUGCCUACCCAUAGGGCUAUCGGUAGGUGAUAGCAUUUACAACUCCUGCUAGAAGUGCCUUUUUAACAGAAAUGCGUAUCUUGAUUGCAACAGCUAUUGAGCAACUGUACCAGCAUGCUUGGCCGCCAACAGAUGUGUAAGCAUGGAGGUGACCAGAGAGCAGGUAGCCAGUUGGUCCUGAAUGGGUGAUGAAGGUCUCCUUGGUCUGCCACUGCCACGCCACCAUUGUGACCGCUCUGUGCGAGUGUCCUCAGCUGUACUGUAUGAGAGACAUGGGUUUUUACCAGAAAUGGUGCUACACUAUUCCGUUCUGAGAAAAAUCCUUCCUGAAGCACUGUCGUCUUGUCCUCGUUUUCCGCUUUGUUUCUGUCCACUUUUUCCUUCUCUUGAUGCCUCUUCAGGGAAGGGCAAAAGAAAUUGUGGUUGUUGCAGUAACUGCAGUCAAAGCUUGUUGGUAAUACAGCUGCGGGCUUGCAAAACUGCAGCUCUCCACUGGUGAAAUGUCCAAAUAUGCUUGUAUAAAUUGCUUUGUGUGUCUGCCUCUCAGCACUGUAGCGUAAAGUACCUAAAGUUUUGUUACGAGCUUGGAAAGAAUGCUUAUUUGUGUUCUCUCCUUCCCCUCUGCCCUAUUAGAAAACAAAGGGGGAGAUCAAAUAUGCAAAACACUUACGAGAUGCUCUAGGUUUUGGUGCUUGGGUGUGCUCUGCAGUGAGGUCUGGCUGGCUGGUUCCUCUGGCUGUCCCGUCAUACAUACUCUGGGGGAGCCGUAGCACUCUGUGCAGCAGGGACUGUGGAGUACCCAGCUAAGGAAUUUCUUUGGAGAAAAUAUCUCUUCCCCUUUCUGUUUUCCUUGCUCAGAAACAUGUAUUAAGCAGAAGUGGAAGUGGGAUGUUCAUUUAAAUGUGGCCUUUAAUAAUUUGUUACUUCAAAAUGAGAUGCUUGGUAUUCUUACUUGCUUUGAAGUAUAUCUUCCAACGUAAAUGAACUCUGAGGUCAGACAAAUAACCUUGUACGGUGUCACAAGGAAAUAGCUGUCAGCAAAGCUGGUUUAAAAAAAAAACCAACACAUCAGGAAGUGGUCCAUGAAAAAGAG